rnacentral:rRNA from 1 species
AUUGAACGCUGGCGGCAGGCUUAACACAUGCAAGUCGAACGGUAACAUAAAGAAGCUUGCUUCUUUGAUGACGAGUGGCGGACGGGUGAGUAAUGCUUGGGAAUCUAGCUUAUGGAGGGGGAUAACUACGGGAAACUGUAGCUAAUACCGCGUAGAAUCGAGAGAUGAAAGUGUGGGACCUUCGGGCCACAUGCCAUAGGAUGAGCCCAAGUGGGAUUAGGUAGUUGGUGAGGUAAAGGCUCACCAAGCCGACGAUCUCUAGCUGGUCUGAGAGGAUGACCAGCCACACUGGGACUGAGACACGGCCCAGACUCCUACGGGAGGCAGCAGUGGGGAAUAUUGCGCAAUGGGGGCAACCCUGACGCAGCCAUGCCGCGUGAAUGAAGAAGGCCUUCGGGUUGUAAAGU